GAUGAAGAACGCAGCGAAAUGCGAUAAGUAAUGUGAAUUGCAGAAUUCAGUGAAUCAUCGAAUCUUUGAACGCACCUUGCGCUCCUUGGUAUUCCGAGGAGCAUGCCUGUUUGAGUGUCAUGAAAUUCUCAACCUUUUCAGCUUUCUUUGUUGAUCAGGCUUGGAUGUGGGAGUAUGCGGGCUUCUCAGAAGUCGGCUCUCCUGAAAUGCAUUAGCGGGACCUUUGUUGCCUGGCUUUGGUGUGAUAAUUAUCUACGCCAUUGUGGUCAAGCAGCUUAAAAUGAGGUUUCAGCUUCUAACCGUCUCCCCUGAGACAACUUUUUGACAAUUUGACCUCAAAUCAGGUAGGACUACCCGCUGAACUUAAGCAUAUCAAUAAGCGGAGGA
rnacentral:misc_RNA from 1 species